AGAUAAGGACUAGGUACCAUUCAUGGACUUAGGUCUUCCCAUACACAAUACAUCCAUGACACAGCCCUGUUCCACAAUGAAAAAAAGCGGACAGCCAGACAACGAAGAUGGCGAACCAAAUAUUGGUGAUGAAAUUUACAAAGUGGCAGAAGCAUGGUGACAGGAACAACAGGAGGACAGAAAUAUGGAAAGGAGAUAAAAAUCCAGGUCAGCAAAUCUGACCGGUUUACAUCAUUUUCUUCCAUGAUGAUCGGUGAUGCAAUGUGUUCCGGAAGUCAGGAAGUAAAAAUUAAACUGAAUGCCAUAUUUUUCCGAAAAGGGAACAGCAAUGUUGGGACGUAAUUUCGUGUAUUCCCAUUCUGAUAAAAGGAAAUACGACUUUUAAACUCUAACUUAUUAAUUUGUGGAGGAUGUUAAUUCGUGGAUGAGAGGGACCCACGAAUUUCACGAAAAGUGAGCCACCACGAAAUCCAAUGAUUUCACAAUAUUAUUUUUUCUCUGUAAGCAUUAAAGUGAUUAUUUGUACCGAAUAAGCUAAACCACGUAUUUUUUAAAAAAAGAAGAUUCAAUUUUCCAUGAAAGACACUGCCUUCAUACCAGUAUGCAAUUUGGUACACUGUAUGCCAUUGGGACAAAGAAGAAAUAACUGGGAUUAUACUUUGAUCAAAUUUAUUAUUUGCAUGUCAUGUAUAUACAUAUAUAUACUACAUUUGCCUAAGCUAAAUAAAUUUUAUUAAGUUGUA